UUUUUCUGACCCGUGGGGCCCGCGAUCGUCAUCUACCUCUGGACGUGAGUCCAGGACGCGUACGUUCUUCGAUCUGCCCAGGAAAAUAGCUCGAUUUCGCCAGAAUUCGUUGCCCCCUUCCCCGAAAAUCCUCCUAUAAAUACCCACAUAUCUUCUCUGUUUGUGCCCCUCCGAAACCCUAAUUUUUGGUGCCGCCCAAUUUAGCCGCCGGAGCCCCGCCUACCGCCGCAGUAUUCCGUCGAUUCGGACGAAAAUUCUUCGCCGCCGUCGGGAGCGCCUCCAUUCGCCUUUCGCCGCCGCAUGAGACCGCGCCAGGACGCUACGACUACGCAGACGACCUUACCGUGACCCUCUGCAUGCCGUUCCCUACCUAUACUGGCCGCUGGACCACUCGCAGCGUCGCCGACAUCCUCGACCGAGACGGCCGCGCGCCGUGUUUUGCCUGCGAGACUGCGACUAGUCCGACUCCCCACGUUGUACGGAGAGAUACGCGUUUUGAUUGAGAGAAGAGCAGAAUUCUUCAGAUACCAAAAAG